rnacentral:tRNA from 1 species
CGGGAAUAGCUCAGUUGGUAGAGCACGACCUUGCCAAGGUCGGGGUCGCGAGUU